GAUGAACGCUGGCGGCGUGCCUAAUACAUGCAAGUCGAGCGAACAGACGAGGAGCUUGCUCCUCUGACGUUAGCGGCGGACGGGUGAGUAACACGUGGAUAACCUACCUAUAAGACUGGGAUAACUUCGGGAAACCGGAGCUAAUACCGGAUAACAUGUUGAACCGCAUGGUUCAACAGUGAAAGACGGUCUUGCUGUCACUUAUAGAUGGAUCCGCGCCGCAUUAGCUAGUUGGUAAGGUAACGGCUUACCAAGGCAACGAUGCGUAGCCGCCCUGAGAGGGUGAUCGGCCACACUGGAACUGAGACACGGUCCAGACUCCUACGGGAGGCAGCAGUAGGGAAUCUUCCGCAAUGGGCGAAAGCCUGACGGAGCAACGCCGCGUGAGUGAAGAAGGUCUUCGGAUCGUAAAACUCUGUUAUUAGGGAAGAACAAAUGUGUAAGUAACUAUGCACGUCUUGACGGUACCUAAUCAGAAAGCCACGGCUAACUACGUG
rnacentral:rRNA from 1 species